rnacentral:rRNA from 1 species
AGGGAAUCUUCCACAAUGGACGAAAGUCUGAUGGAGCAACGCCGCGUGUGUGAUGAAGGGUUUCGGCUCGUAAAACACUGUUGUAAGAGAAGAAUGACAUUGAGAGUAACUGUUCAGUGUGUGACGGUAUCUUACCAGAAAGGAACGGCUAAAUACGUGCCAGCAGCCGCGGUAAUACGUAUGUUCCAAGCGUUAUCCGGAUUUAUUGGGCGUAAAGCGAGUGCAGGCGGUCUUUUAAGUCUGAUGUGAAAGCCUUCGGCUUAACCGAAGAAGGGCAUCGGAAACUGGGAGGCUUGAGUGCAGAAGAGGAGAGUGGAACUCCAUGUGUAGCGGUGAAAUGCGUAGAUAUAUGGAAGAACACCAGUGGCGAAGGCGGCUCUCUGGUCUGUAACUGACGCUGAGGCUCGAAAGCGUGGGUAGCAAACA